rnacentral:rRNA from 1 species
AACGCGAAGAACCUUACCAGCUUUUGACAUGUCCUGGACGGAUUGCAGAGAUGCGAUCUUCCCUCACGGGCCGGGAACACAGGUGCUGCAUGGCUGUCGUCAGCUCGUGUCGUGAGAUGUUGGGUUAAGUCCCGCAACGAGCGCAACCCUCGCCCUUAGUUGCCAUCAUUCAGUUGGGCACUCUAGGGGGACUGCCGGUGAUAAGCCGGAGGAAGGUGGGGAUGACGUCAAGUCCUCAUGGCCCUUACAGGCUGGGCUACACACGUGCUACAAUGGCGGUGACAACGGGACGCCAAGGGGCGACCCUUAGCAAAUCUCGAAAAGCCGUCUCAGUUCGGAUUGCACUCUGCAACUCGAGUGCAUGAAGUCGGAAUCGCUAGUAAUCGCGGAUCAGCACGCCGCGGUGAAUACGUUCCCGGGCCUUGUACACACCGAGACGAC